CAGCACCUCAAGUGGUCAGGAUGAUUAUUGGGCCUAAAGCAUCCGUAGCCGGCUCUGUAAGUUUUCGGUUAAAUCUGUACGCUCAACGUACAGGCUGCCGGGAAUACUGCAGAGCUAGGGAGUGGGAGAGGUAGACGGUACUCGGUGGGAAGGGGUAAAAUCCUUUGAUCUAUUGAUGACCACCUGUGGCGAAGGCGGUCUACCAGAACACGUCCGACGGUGAGGGAUGAAAGCUGGGGGAGCAAACCGGAUUAGAUACCCGAGUAGUCC
rnacentral:rRNA from 1 species